AGUGUACUCCCUUCGGAAAUACUUGUCAUCAAAAGGGAUAAAUGAGGAUGUAUUUAGAUAUAUUUUAGUUCUAAAUACAUCUCUUUUUAUUCAUUUUGAUGACAAAUAUUUUCAGACGGAGGGAGUAUAUU
rfam:Triticum aestivum genome assembly, contig: Triticum_aestivum_CS42_TGACv1_scaffold_036185_1BL